AACGAACGCUGGCGGCAUGCCCAACACAUGCAAGUCGAACGAGACCUUCGGGUCCAGUGGCGCACGGGUGCGUCACGCGUGGGAACCUUCCCUUAGGUUCGGAAUAACUCCCCGAAUGGGGUGCUAAUACCGGAUCAUGUCUUCUGCCCAAUGAUUUAUCGCCUUUGGUUGGUCCCUCGUUGGAUUAGCUAGUUGGUAAGGUAAUAGCUUACUAAGGCAACGAUCCGUAGAUGGUCUGAGAGGGUGAUUGGCCACACUGGAACUGAGACACGGCCCAGACUCCUACGGGAGGCAGCAGUAGGGAAUCUUCCGCAAAGGGCGAAAGCCUGACGGAGCAACGCCGCGUGAGUGAUGAAGGUCUUCGGAUCGUAAAACUCUGUUAUGAGGGAAGAACAAAUGUGUAAGUAACUAUGCCCGUCUUGACGGUACCUAAUCAGAAAGCCACGGCUAACUACGUG
rnacentral:rRNA from 1 species